rnacentral:rRNA from 1 species
CAAGGGCGAAAGCCCUGGAUGCAGCGACGCCGCGGUGGAGGGAUGACGGCCUUCGGGUUGUAAACCUCUUUCAGCAGGGAAGAAGCGAAAGUGACGGUACCUGCAGAAGAAGCGCCGGCUAACUACGUGCCAGCAGCCGCGGUAAUACGUAGGGCGCAAGCGUUGUCCGGAAUUAUUGGGCGUAAAGAGCUCGUAGGCGGCUUGUCACGUCGGAUGUGAAAGCCCGAGGCUUAACCUCGGGUCUGCAUUCGAUACGGGCUAGCUAGAGUGUGGUAGGGGAGAUCGGAAUUCCUGGUGUAGCGGUGAAAUGCGCAGAUAUCAGGAGGAACACCGGUGGCGAAGGCGGAUCUCUGGGCCAUUACUGACGCUGAGGAGCGAAAGCGUGGGGAGCGAACAGGAUUAGAUACCCUGGUAGUCCACGCCGUAAACGUUGGGAACUAGGUGUUGGCGACAUUCCACGUCGUCGGUGCCGCAGCUAACGCAUUAAGUUCCCCGCCUGGGGAGUACGGCCGCAAGGCUAAAACUCAAAGGAAUUGACGGGGGCCCGCACAAGCAGCGGAGCAUGUGGCUUAAUUCGACGCAA